rnacentral:tRNA from 1 species
AGCCCUGAGGUGUUUUACACAUUAGAUUGCAAAUCUUAAGUAGCAGGUUAGCCUCUGCCGGGGCUU